rnacentral:lncRNA from 1 species
GUUAUCCUCCAUUACUGGAUAAGAUUUUGUAAAUCUUAUUUGCCUGACUUGCUGCUUGUUGGAAACAUCUUCUCAGGUGAUAAUGUUUUGUCCUACGCUAAUUCUAUUGUGUGUCCAUUUUCAGUUGAAUGAGAUGCUGAAAGAGAGAGUCCAGCCAUACCUACAAAAUGUUGACAACAGUGUUCUUCCUCGGCCUAUAUUAUUGCAAACCCAGAGUAAUCAGGACCAAAAGGUUUCUUCUCUCAUCUUGCUUUUGCUAUUAAUCUAUCCUGUUAAUCUUUGGGGUUGAAAAUUGAAAUUGCUAGACAAACUUUUGGAAGAACUCCCUUUACAUAAAGGUUUGAGUAUUAAAAAAGAUUAUUAAUAGGACUUUAGACUAUAUCAAGUAAACGAGUUCAUCAUAUGCAGUGAGUGAUAUUUUAUUAUAAAGCAGAUUGAUUAUUCAUGGUCACAUUUUUUAAUGGAAUUGCAUGUGAAGUGAAUAUUGAAUUACGCAUGAAAUAGCCUUUUAAUAUAAAUGAAAUGACAAGUAACGGCCACUAAGAGAAUUUUACAUAAAGCAUCUUGAUUACAAUGUCACCGUAUCAAAGCAAAAACUGGAUUUUACUGGUUUUACCACUAGUAAUAUAUAUUCUGCAUGCCUCACACUUGCUUAUUUGCUGCAGAGAAAGCAGGCUCGAAGACGAUGGUGGUUGUUUUGAGAGCUUUUGUAAUGCUGAGUUCCUGAGUUUCUUGCUGAUGACGGCUCGGCCAAUUUUGUUCGUCAAUUUGUAUGUUGUAUUUAACUCUCGGAAACAAUUGGCUAUCCUUCUCUCGGAAUUCUUCGUGUUUUUUUAAUCUUUGUUGAUUAAAAAAGCAUGACAGAUUAUAAACCACAAAAUUGUUUGAUUGUUUUUUAUUUUUAUAUAAUGCGAUGUUUUAAAGGCAUGAUGUUGGUCUCGCCCUUGUUUACCCUGCGAAUAAUAAAAUGCCGCUUAUUUUUACUUUGCUUGUCGUCUUUUGCUAUUAUCCAUUUUAACGUAGUAAAAACCUCUCAAAUGAAUUUUAG